rnacentral:rRNA from 1 species
AACGAACGCUGGCGGCAUGCCUAACACAUGCAAGUCGAACGAGACCUUCGGGUCUAGUGGCGCACGGGUGCGUAACGCGUGGGAACCUGCCCUUAGGUUCGGAAUAACUCCCCGACAGGGGUGCUAAUACCGGAUAAUGUCUUCGGACCAAAGAUUUAUCGCCUUUGGAUGGGCCCGCGUUGUAUUAGCUAGUUGGUAGGGUAAAAGCCUACCAAGGCGACGAUCCAUAGCUGGUCUGAGAGGAUGAUCAGCCACACUGGGAGUGAGACACGGCCCAGACUCCUACGGGAGGCAGCAGUGGGGAAUAUUGGACAAUGGGCGAAAGCCUGAUCCAGCAAUGCCGCGUGAGUGAUGAAGGCCUUAGGGUUGUAAAGCUCUUUUACCCGGGAUGAUAAUGACAGUACCGGGAGAAUAAGCUCCGGCUAACUCCGUG